AUCAGGGUAGCUUAAAAUAAAGCUUUGAUUUUGUAAUUUAAAGAUAGGAAAUUUUCCUUCCUGAUA
rnacentral:tRNA from 1 species